GCAUGGUUUUCUUUUAAAAGAUGGCUCUGCUAUCACUUCUGGAUGGACCCGCGGCGUAUUAGCUAGUUGGUGAGGCAAAGGCUCACCAAGGCAGUGAUACGUAGCCGACCUGAGAGGGUAAUCGGCCACAUUGGGACUGAGACACGGCCCAGACUCCUACGGGAGGCAGCAGUAGGGAAUCUUCCACAAUGGACGCAAGUCUGAUGGAGCAACGCCGCGUGAGUGAAGAAGGGUUUCGGCUCGUAAAGCUCUGUUGUUAAAGAAGAACGUGGGUAAGAGUAACUGUUUACCCAGUGACGGUAUUUAACCAGAAAGCCACGGCUAACUACGUGCCAGCAGCCGCGGUAAUACGUAGGUGGCAAGCGUUAUCCGGAUUUAUUGGGCGUAAAGCGAGCGCAGGCGGUCUUUUAAGUCUAAUGUGAAAGCCUUCGGCUCAACCGAAGAAGUGCAUUGGAAACUGGGAGACUUGAGUGCAGAAGAGGACAGUGGAACUCCAUGUGUAGCGGUGAAAUGCGUAGAUAUAUGGAAGAACACCAGUGGCGAAGGCGGCUGUCUGGUCUGCAACUGACGCUGAGGCUCGAAAGCAUGGGUAGCGAACAGGAUUAGAUACCCUGGUAGUCCAUGCCGUAAACGAUGAUUACUAAGUGUUGGAGGGUUUCCGCCCUUCAGUGCUGCAGCUAACGCAUUAAGUAAUCCGCCUGGGGAGUACGACCGCAAGGUUGAAACUCAAAAGAAUUGACGGGGGCCCGCACAAGCGGUGGAGCAUGUGGUUUAAUUCGAAGCUACGCGAAGAACCUUACCAGGUCUUGACAUCUUCUGACAGUCUAAGAGAUUAGAGGUUCCCUUCGGGGACAGAAUGACAGGUGGUGCAUGGUUGUCGUCAGCUCGUGUCGUGAGAUGUUGGGUUAAGUCCCGCAACGAGCGCAACCCUUAUUACUAGUUGCCAGCAUUAAGUUGGGCACUCUAGUGAGACUGCCGGUGACAAACCGGAGGAAGGUGGGGACGACGUCAAAUCAUCAUGCCCCUUAUGACCUGGGCUACACACGUGCUACAAUGGAUGGUACAACGAGUCGCGAGACCGCGAGGUUAAGCUAAUCUCUUAAAACCAUUCUCAGUUCGG
rnacentral:rRNA from 1 species